CCCUGCCCUUUGUACACACCGCCCGUCGCUAGUACCGAUUGAAUGGCUUAGUGAGACCUCCGGAUGUGCGAUUUUCUGGUGGCAACAUCAGUAAUUUGCGUAGAAGCUGGUCAAACUUGGUCAUUUAGAGGAAC
rnacentral:rRNA from 1 species